ACCCCCGGUAUUAUUGCUUUAUGGGUUGCAAUCGAGCUUAGCCUUGUUCAUUUUUUUAUACAACAAUCCGUUAAAAAUAGAAGACAGGCCGCUCUCGCUCAGAUUUUACGGCAGCCGCAAACCCGAAAAAAUGCCCCAAAUAGCAGCAAAAAAGGCUAUUCGGUGCAGUUUUAGGGCAC
rnacentral:sRNA from 1 species